GGAGGGGUUCCCGAGCGGUCAAAGGGGGCAGACUGUAAAUCUGUUGGCCUAAGCCUUCGUAGGUUCGAAUCCUACCCCCUCCACCA
rnacentral:tRNA from 1 species